UUCCAUCAAAUUAAAAUAUGGCCACCUCUAAAAUUGCAGCCAUGCUCAUGAUUUGUCUUUUCUGGAGCUCUUUUAUUGCUGAAUGUAAGUUUGAUCUGCAUUAAUAUUUUUAUUUUUUUGAAGUAACAUUAAUAUUUAUUGUUGAUUUUAUCAGGCAUGAAGUGUUUGCACACAUCUAUUACACUUGAUUGUAAUUUGUUUAAUUAUGCAGGUGAAUUGAUGAAAGAGAGUUCUCGAAAGAUGCUCAAGAAUGAUGUCCCGGACGGUGGUUUUUGUAUACCUAAUUUUUGCUCCGACAAUAAUGAAAGUUCAACAAAGUUUCAAGUUUUCUGUUGGUGUUGU
rnacentral:lncRNA from 1 species